rnacentral:rRNA from 1 species
CCUACGUGGGGCAGCAGUGGGGAAUAUUGGACAAUGGGGGGAACCCUGAUCCAGCGACGCCGCGUGAGUGAAGAAGUAUUUCGGUAUGUAAAGCUCUAUCAGCAGGGAAGAAAGAAAUGACGGUACCUGACUAAGAAGCCUCGGCUAACUACGUGCCAGCAGCCGCGGUAAUACGUAGGUGGCAAGCGUUAUCCGGAUUUACUGGGUGUAAAGGGAGCGUAGACGGUUGUGCAAGUCUGGAGUGAAAGGCGGGGGCACAACCCCCGGACUGCUUUGGAAACUGUAUGACUGGAGUGCAGCAGAGGUAGGUGGAAGUCCUAGUGUAGCGGUGAAAUGCGUAGAUAGUAGGAGGAACACCGGUGGCGAAGGCGGCUUACUGGACUGUAACUGACGUUGAGGCUCGAAAGCGUGGGGAGCAAACAGGAUUAGAUACCCUUGUAGUC